rnacentral:rRNA from 1 species
GAUGAACGCUAGCGGCAGGCUUAACACAUGCAAGUCGAGGGGCAGCGGGGAGGAAGCUUGCUUUCUCCGCCGGCGACCGGCGCACGGGUGAGUAACACGUAUGCAACCUGCCCCUGUCAGGGGGACAACCCGCCGAAAGGCGGGCUAAACCCGCGUACAUGCCACCGGGGCAUCCCGGAGGCAGGAAAGGCUUCGGCCGGACAGGGAUGGGCAUGCGGCGCAUUAGGCAGUAGGCGGGGUAACGGCCCACCUAACCGACGAUGCGUAGGGGUUCUGAGAGGAAGGUCCCCCACACUGGUACUGAGACACGGACCAGACUCCUACGGGAGGCAGCAGAGAGGAAUAUUGGUCAAUGGUCGGGAGACUGAACCAGCCAAGCCGCGUGAGGGAGGAAGGUACAGAGUAUCGUAAACCUCUUUUGUCAGGGAACAAAGGCGGGGACGUGUCCCCGGAUGAGUGUACCUGAAGAAAAAGCAUCGGCUAACUCCGUGCCAGCAGCCGCGGUAAUACGGAGGAUGCGAGCGUUAUCCGGAUUUAUUGGGUUUAAAGGGUGCGCAGGCGGUCUGUUAAGUCAGCGGUCAAAGCCCGGGGCUCAACCCCGGCCCGCCGUUGAAACUGGCAGUCUCGAGUUGGAGAGAAGUAUGCGGAAUGCGCGGUGUAGCGGUGAAAUGCAUAGAUAUCGCGCAGAACUCCGAUUGCGAAGGCAGCAUGCCGGCUCCACACUGACGCUGAGGCACGAAAGCGUGGGUAUCGAACAGGAUUAGAUACCCUGGUAGUCCACGCAGUAAACGAUGAAUGCUGGCUGUCCGGGGGGAUUGACCCCUGGGUGGCGAAGCGAAAGCGAUAAGCAUUCCACCUGGGGAGUACGCCGGCAACGGUGAAACUCAAAGGAAUUGACGGGGGCCCGCACAAGCGGAGGAACAUGUGGUUUAAUUCGAUGAUACGCGAGGAACCUUACCCGGGCUCAAACGGGGAGUGACUCAGGCAGAGACGCCUGUUUCCCACGGGACACUCCCCGAGGUGCUGCAUGGUUGUCGUCAGCUCGUGCCGUGAGGUGUCGGCUUAAGUGCCAUAACGAGCGCAACCCCCGCGUGCAGUUGCUAACAGAUAACGCUGAGGACUCUGCACGGACUGCCGGCGCAAGCCGCGAGGAAGGCGGGGAUGACGUCAAAUCAGCACGGCCCUUACGUCCGGGGCGACACACGUGUUACAAUGGGUGGUACAGCGGGAAGCCAGGCGGCGACGCCGAGCGGAACCCGAAAUCCACUCUCAGUUCGGAUCGGAGUCUGCAACCCGACUCCGUGAAGCUGGAUUCGCUAGUAAUCGCGCAUCAGCCAUGGCGCGGU